rnacentral:tRNA from 1 species
AGCCUUAGAAAUUUAAUUACUCCUUUAGAAUUGCAGUCUAAUGUCAUUGUUGACUAUAAAGCC